UCUCUGUUCUCUUUUCUUUUUCUCUUCUCCUCCAUUGUGCCGCCCCUUUGUUCAUUUUUUCUCUCCCAUUUGAUUUUAUUUUUCUGCUCAUUUUUCCUUCCCCCUAAAAGUCGAACCUUGCUAGUUUUACUGUUAUUGCCGCACAUCAGCAGCCCUUUUUAUCCUCCAUUGCCGCCAUCCAUUACACCACCACAUUUUUGCCAUUGUCACUUUAUUUUACUCUUCGUUUUUCCUGUCAUCGCGGAUCUGAGUAAGUGCAGAAUUUUUCGGUUAAUUUAAUCAAGUCUAAGUAGUUUUUAUUUUAUUCGAUAUUCUGAUAUGGCCGAAUCUGAUGUAUUAUCAUUUUCUUGGUGUUUAAAUGUUCAAGAUCUAGAUCCAAAUCGUAUGGAUCUAUAGCGUUGGGAAGUUGUUUGCAAGCCGUUAUAAGUCAAUUAAGGUAAGUGUUGAAUCUCCACUUCGGAUCUGAAGUUUCAAUUUAAGGUUUGCGGCUUGGUCGAACCCUAUAAGGGCUUUAGGGGGGAUGAUUUUUUAUAAAUAUUUUCUGUUGUGUUCAGAUUUAAGCAAGUUCUAGUCGGAUCUAAGUCCUAAGAGCUGCGGAUUUAAGUAGUACUUCGGGUCUACGCUUAUUAGCUGUUGGUCUUACCAUUGAGUGUUUAAUUGAUUAUUAAAAAUAAUAUUUUGUGCAUGUUAAACCAAUAUACAUGCUGAUUGGUACAUGGCCGAAUGGUCAUUAGUGAGUUUAAAAGUUACCGAUUGAGGUAUGUACUAAAAGGGUAGUGGCCGAUUAUUAAAGGGCUUUAAUUGAGAUUAAGGGUCUGUUUGUUUGCCAGUAAAAUAUUUUCCGGAAAAUAAUUUAUAGAAAAUGAUUUACUUUUCUGGAAAAUGAUUUACUGAAAAUAUUUUCUGGGAAUUUAUGUAAAAUAUUUUCUUUUAUUUGGCAGAUUUCCUGAAAAUAUUUUCCGGGAAAGCUGUUUUUACAUAUAUUAAUAAAUUUUGCAAUGAUUUAUUUAUAAAUAAAUCAAAUUAAAUAUAUAAUAAUACUCAAUUAUUAAGCUAGAAUAUUAACUGUCAUAAAUUGAAAACAACCAAAGUCAAAAUUUAAUCAAUACAGUACACAUUGAACGAAGAACCAGACACAAGUUGAACUAAAAUCUCCAAGGAACAAGAUAAAAUCCAUGUAAGAUAUACACACAGAGUGAGGAGACUUGUAUGUCAUAAUUGCACUCGAACAUUUUAGAGCUGAAGGGGCACCAACUGGUCGGGGAUUGACAAAUUGACAGGCAUUUUCUGUUGCAUUAAGUAAAGGAAGCAUUCCAGUUGUAAUGCCCUUUAUGCAUGAUUUAAUUAAAUAAUCAUUAAAAAAUUCAGAAUCUCAGAAUCUGAGCAAACAAGGAUGCCGAAGAUUGGAGGAAACAAAAAGGGGAAAGUGAAAUGGGUAUUCUUUUUGGAAGAAACAUGAGUUAUAAUGCAUUAUCCAACAAAAUCAAUUUCAGUGUCUAAAAGACUGCACUUAGCAACUAACAACAGUAAUGCUAAAAUGGGAGAAAAGGGAAUGUCAGCAAGCUGUCUAUAGUUUCUAUAAUUAUUUAGAAAUACAUUAAAAGGUGGUAGAACUGGUGGAUUAUGCAGCUUCCUUAGUCUAUUUCCAACCUAGCAAUAUAUUUGUCAUAUAAAAUCCUUGCUUUCUCAAGGUCUCCUAGCUCGGUGUAGUAGUCAGCAAUUGCUCCAUAAGCUUCUGUAUUUCUAGAGUCUUCUCCUUCUCGAUCAGAUAUUACUAAAACCAUUGAGUGGUAUUCAAUGGCUUCUUGAUAUUUGCCUUGCCUUUUCAACGGGGUACCUGAAAUCAAUCAAACUUAACUGUUAAAGUUUCUGCUACCCUUCAUGGAAAGGGAUCCCAGCUGUAGGAAAAAAAGUUUUUUGCAUCACUCCCCAGAAAGAAACACAUAAAUUAAUUAGCUGGUACAAGUUUUAAAGGCUUUACGAUUCAUCGUUUUAUGCUUUAGCACUGCCACUUGGUACAAAAAAGCGACAUGGGAUUUCCUUUGAAACCAAAUAUAAGAUUCAUAAUGAAGUCACUUCUCUGAGUAUCUAAUAGAUUGAUACACACAGAUCCAAGGGAAUUCCAUAAGGUAUCAUAAUCCUUAUCUCUCUUUGGCCACUUGGAUUGGCUUAAACCAUAAGCAUUUUACUAUACUAAAUUAGGAAUAGAGACUAGACAGGCAAAUAAAUGGAGAAGAUACAGACCUAAACCCCUGGCAGCUUUCUUCUCCUCGAUAAGAUCUUUUAGACUCUUAGCAAGCUCCAGUGCUGUCUUAAACUCUAGAAAAGCCUUCUCAAGUUCUUGAUUUCUUAAAAAGUUCUUCCUGUUCUCAACUCUUCCUUUCUUGGAUUGACAAUUACUUCAUUUUCUGAUAUUCUACCACCGAUGGGAACAAACUCAGGCUGGGAGCAUAUGACUCUAUCUUAGCCUGCCUUCUUAGAGUAACAUUGAUUUGGCGCAGCUGCUCAUUCACUCGCUGCAGCUCCUCUUUCCUCU
rnacentral:lncRNA from 1 species